AGGCUUCUGGGGGAUACUGUCAAACUUGGAACCGGGAGAGGUAAGAGGUACUCCGGGGGUAGGAGUGAAAUCUUGUAAUCCUGGGGGGACCACCUGUGGCGAAGGCGUCUUACCGGAACGGGUUCGACGGUGAGGGACGAAAGCUGGGGGCACGAACCGGAUUAGAUACCCGGGUAGUCCCAGCCGUAAACGAUGCGCGCUAGGUGUCUGGGAUGGUGCGACCGGUUCAGGUGCCGAAGGGAAGCCGUGAAGCGAGCCACCUGGGAAGUACGGCCGCAAGGCUGAAACUUAAAGGAAUUGGCGGGGGAGCACUACAACGGGUGGAGCCUGCGGUUUAAUUGGACUCAACGCCGGAAAACUCACCUGGGGCGACAGCAGAAUGAAGGUCAGGCUGAAGA
rnacentral:rRNA from 1 species